GGCGGACGGGUGAGUAAUACUUAGGAAUCUGCCCAUUAGUGGGGGACAACUCGGGGAAACUCGAGCUAAUACCGCAUACGCCCUACGGGGGAAAGCGGGGGAUCUUCGGACCUCGCGCUAAUGGAUGAGCCUAAGUCGGAUUAGCUUGUUGGUGGGGUAAAGGCCUACCAAGGCGACGAUCCGUAGCUGGUCUGAGAGGACGAUCAGCCACACUGGGACUGAGACACGGCCCAG
rnacentral:rRNA from 1 species